rnacentral:rRNA from 1 species
CUAGCUGUAAACGAUGGAUACUAGGCGUUGAGAGUAUCGACCCUCUCAGUGUCGUAGCUAACGCGUUAAGUAUCCCGCCUGGGGAGUACGCGCGCAAGCGUGAAACUCAAGGGAAUUGACGGGGGCCCGCACAAGCGGUGGAGUAUGUGGUUUAAUUCGAUGCAACGCGAAGAACCUUACCAGGGCUUGACAUGUCCGGAACCCUGCCCAAAGGCGGGGGUGCCUACGGGAACCGGAACACAGGUGGUGC